rnacentral:rRNA from 1 species
GACGAACCGUCCAAACGUUGUUCGGAAUCACUGGGCUUAAAGGGCGCGUAGGCGGACUGCCAAGUCCGGGGUGAAAUCUUUCGGCUUAACCGGAAAAGGGCCUUGGAAACUGGCGGUCUCGAGGGAGGUAGGGGCCUGUGGAACUUCGGGUGGAGCGGUGAAAUGCGCAGAUAUCAGGAGGAACACCGGUGGCGAAGGCGGAUCUCUGGGCCAUAACUGACGCUGAGAAGCGAAAGCAUGGGGAGCGAACAGG